AUGCAUCAGUUUCAUCACUCACUCUCUCCCUCUCUCUCAAAUCCCUAAAUUCUUUUCAUAUAUCAGGUUUCAAAUCCCUAAUUUCUUUUCAUCACUCACUCUCUACGGAUUCGAUAUUCUGAUAUGUGGUUCAUCAUUGUCUCAUAGCAUCUCUCUCCGUUGCCGCCUCAUCUCUUCUCGAUUCUCCGAUUUGCCGACGACUCUCCGGUAGCGAUUCCGAUCAGUGCAGAUUGAUCUAGGGAAGCGAGCAAAUAGAGGAGUGACAUCUGGUGUGCCCAUUGCUAAGGUAUGUCCACAAGGGGUAGAGGACGAGCAGGGUAUGUACCUAGACCCCAUGCGUCUACACCACUUGCAUCCACUAAAUCAGUUUGUUCAUCCACUCAAUCAACACCUGGACCCAAUGCA